GGACCCUGACAGGGGCUAUGAAAAUAGUGUAUCCGAUCCCAGAAGCACUGGAGAGUAGCAGGGAGAGUGGGUUUUGAGGGUCUGGAUGUGUAGGCCAGUUAUAGGGAUGGAAGACAGGAAGUUGUGCUUUGGCGCUAGUGACCUUGAGUGAUGGUGAGGAUUACAGUGGGACUUUCUUGUGGGUAUUUGAAAGGCUAAUUGAGAAUUCUGGUGGUGGAAGAGAAGGAGGGGAGGGAUGAAGGAGGAAAACAGACCAAGUGAAAGUGAAUGAGUGAGAGACAUAAUGAAUGAAUGAAUGAAUUGUUGAAUCAGGUAGAUGUGAAAAUGGGGCUGGAUUAUUGGCUGGUUUGGAAGCCAUUUCUUCAUUGAGACCUCUCAGUGUAAAGGAAGAGUGGAUUAUCUUCUCCAUGGGGG
rnacentral:lncRNA from 1 species